rnacentral:rRNA from 1 species
UACAGAGGUCUCAAGCGUUUGUUCGGAUUCAUUGGGCGUAAAGGGUGCGUAGGCGGCGCGGUAAGUCGGGUGUGAAAUCUUGGAGCUUAACUCCGAAACUGCAUUCGAUACUGCCGUGCUUGAGGACUGGAGAGGAGACUGGAAUUUACGGUGUAGCGGUGAAAUGCGUAGAUAUCGUGAAGGAAGACCAGUGGCGAAGGCGGGUCUCUGGACAGUUCCUGACGCUGAGGCACGAAGGCCAGGGGAGCAAACGGGG